UACGGGGGGAGCAAGCGUUGUUCGGAUUUACUGGGCGUAAAGGGCGCGUAGGCGGCGCAACAAGUCAGUUGUGAAAUCUCCGAGCUUAACUCGGAAAGGUCAACUGAUACUGUGCGGCUAGAGUGCGGAAGGGGCAACUGGAAUUCUUGGUGUAGCGGUGAAAUGCGUAGAUAUCAAGAGGAACACCUGCGGCGAAGGCGGGUUGCUGGGCCGACACUGACGCUGAGGCGCGAAAGCCAGGGGAGCGAACGGG
rnacentral:rRNA from 1 species